rnacentral:rRNA from 1 species
GGAGGGCCCUGGUCGGAAUCGCAAUUCCUCGGGGCCCAACCUCAAAUCUCUCUCUGCGUACGUCUCCCUGUUGCUUCCCCGGGAGGGUGACAUGCCGCCCGGGGAAGGACCAUCCCUCCCGAGAGCACACGAUGCCAACAAACGCACCUGUAGAACUCACCACCCAAGCCGUCUGAUGGCCGGCGCACCGAUCGGGGCGCAGAGAGCCAGGACGUGAACUGCAAAUGAAUAGAAAAAACUUUCAACAACGGAUCUCUUGGUUCCCGCAUCGAUGAAGAACGCAGCGAAAUGCGAUAAGUAAUGUGAAUUGCAGAAUUCAGUGAAUCAUCGAAUCUUUGAACGCACAUUGCGCCCCCUGGCAUUCCGGGGGGCAUGCCUGUUCGAGCGUGUCCGAGAAGUAGGCUCACGCAGGGAAAUGCGUGGUGGUGUUGGCGGCGGCGGUCCCGACAGGGCGGCCACCCCGGCGGAAUCGAUGGGCGGAUGCCUGCCGCUUGGCAGAGCGUGAUAUUCUUUGCUAUCGCCUCGAGGGCGUCGAGGGGUCCAGCCCAUGCAUCCAUGCACGGCGGGGAAG